rnacentral:rRNA from 1 species
GUAUCCUACGGGGGGCAGCAGUGAGGAAUAUUGGUCAAUGGGCGCGAGCCUAAACCAGCCAAGUCGCGUGAGGGAUGACGGCCCUACGGGUUGUAAACCUCCUUUGUCGGGGAGCAAAUUCCGUUACGUGUAACGGAGUCGAGAGUACCCGAAGAAAAAGCAUCGGCUAACUCCGUGUCAGCAGCCGCGGUAAUACGGAGGAUGCGAGCGUUAUCCGGAUUUACUGGGUUUAAAGGGUGCGUAGGCGGACUGUCAAGUCAGCGGUAAAAUACGGGGGCUCAACCUCCGCCCGCCGUUGAAACUGG